UCGGCGAGGGCUUCGUCAUCACCGCCCGCGCCCCGGGACUUCAUGGGACUUGUAGUUCCUCCGGGGAGCCUCGGGCGUGCCCCGCGAGGACUGUCCAGGCGGCUCCAGCGGAUAAAAGACCUGCUAUGGGCGGGGUGACAGGGUGGAGGCGUUUCCACCCGAGCUGGGAAGGGAGGCCCCGUUUCGUACUCUGCUGGUCGAGCCGCGGGAACUUAACUUUGUUAUUUCUUUGUGUGCAGACGCCUUCCAAAUCCAGGACCUCAGAAUCAGAGCCCCGUAGUUCCCGCAUCUCUUCCGCCGAGACCUGGAGCAGAGAUGCUUUCUUUCCUUGGCGCUGCUGUGGCGCAGCCUACGGGUUAUCUGCAGAGGGCAUUAUCCAGCUUCUCCCCGAGGCCAUGCCCAGCACCACUAUAACCCCCUCCCGCAGCCCCUCAGUCACAGAGCUGAGAAAGAAUGGUUACCAUGCUAACUCGAACCUCACUCGUGCCCCCUUCUUCACGCCACACAGACCAGAGCCAAAUACAAUGAGUAUUUAGAGAAUCUGCUACGCUGAUCGCUCCCCUCUCCUCGCAGGAGGAUGGAUUUUUAAAUCUGGGAAGUCUUGUGCUACAGUUUUUCUCUGCUACCAAGUAUAUAUAAUAUUGGGACUUUCUAGCUGGCAAAGACCAAGUGAAGAGAUGUGUGAGAUUUUUUUCGAGCUGGCAAAAAGGAGACCCUAUCCAGGAGACUAGGCUUUAAGGAAGCUGUGAGGAAAGACGGCAGCAUCCAUUCCCAGAAUUCCUGACAGACUGGACUGAGAACACCCGUCCCUGCUCCCAGGCUUCUCCUGAGUCCCAGGGCAGGGCUCCCUGCUGCCGCCUCUGUCACUGUCAGAUCCACAGAAAGAUCAGAGAAGAGGGUGGGGCGCUGUGAUGGCUCUCUCUCCUCCACACCUGGGGAAGCUGCUUCACCCUCAAGCUCUGGGGGACUGGCAGAUGUUGUACUAACCUGAAAUUAAAAUCAUCUGUGCAGAAGCAUAUUU
rnacentral:lncRNA from 1 species